UGGACAGGCUUAGUGGGCAAUUAAAGGGCUUGGGCUUGUCCCAGGAGUUGAGGGUUCGAUCCCCUCCCUGUCUACCCA
rnacentral:tRNA from 1 species